rnacentral:rRNA from 1 species
GAUGAACGCUGGCGGCGUGCUUAACACAUGCAAGUCGAACGGAAAGGCUCCUGCUUGCAGGGGUACUCGAGUGGCGAACGGGUGAGUAACACGUGGGUGAUCUGCCCUGCACUUCGGGAUAAGCCUGGGAAACUGGGUCUAAUACCGGAUAGGACGAUGGUUUGGAUGCCAUUGUGGAAAGUUUUUCGGUGUGGGUUGAGCUCGGGGCUUUUCAGCUUGUUGGUGGGGUAAUGGCUUACCAAGGGGUCGCCGGGUGGCCGGCCUGGGGGGGGGUAGGGCCACAUGGGGACUGAGAUAGGGCCCAGACUCCAACGGGAGGAAGCAGGGGGGAAUAUGGCACAAUGGGGGCAAGCCGGAUGAAGCGAGGCCGGGGGGGGGAGAACGGCCUUCGGGUGGUAAACCCCUUUGGCUAGGGAGGAAGCGCAAGUGACGGUACCUGGAGAAGAAGCACCGGCUAACUACGUG